CUCCCCUUAUUGGGAGUGAUUGAUUUUUUAUUGAUUACUCACAACCUUCAUGCACUCUUCACCAUAUCCAGAACACCCUACACAAGGAUCAGAGAAUCAAGUUAGAUAGUGGACCAAAAUAUGGAUCCAAGUACAUAAGGCACCAUGGUGAUCUCAGGUCAAAAGAUCACUUACACAACUCCUACUAGAGAAACAUCAGUUGACA
rnacentral:lncRNA from 1 species